UACAGAGGUCCCAAGCGUUGUUCGGAUUCACUGGGCGUAAAGGGUGCGCAGGUGGGCUGGUAAGUUCGAUGUGAAAGCCCCCGGCUUAACCGGGGAAUUGCGCCCUAAACUGACGAGCUGGAGUGGGACAGGGGUGUGUGGAACUUCCGGUGGAGCGGUGAAAUGUGUUGAUAUCGGAAGGAACGCCGGUGGCGAAAGCGACACACUGGGUCUCAACUGACGCUGAGGCACGAAAGCCAGGGGAGCGAACGGG
rnacentral:rRNA from 1 species